rnacentral:rRNA from 1 species
UUAUAGUGGUGUACAGGUGAGUAAAAGAUAAUUUGGCUACCUUAAAGUAAGGAGUAAAUCUUCUUAUAAUAAAAAAGGAUAUAAGUCCGAAAGGGACAAUCCGCUUUAAGAUGUUAAUCUUUAUCACGGAAAGUAGUAGGAAAGGUAAUGACUUUUCUAGCUAAACCCGUAGUCGUGACUGAGAGGUCGAUCGACCACAUUGGGUCUGAAAAAACCCCAAUGCGUAUUAGUACAGCAGUGAGGAAUAUUGGUCAAUGGCCGAAAGGCUGAACCAGUAACUUGGAAGAAUGGAAGUGUAUAAAAAGAAUACAGUAACGAUUAACUCGUAUAAAAUUCUAAAUAGAAGAAUGAUAAUGACAAAUUUCUAUUUAUAAGUCUUGACCAACUUACGUGCCAGCAGUCGCGGUAAUACGUAAGAGACUAGUGUUAGUCAUCUUUAUUAGGUUUAAAGGGUACCUAGACGGUAAAUUAAACUCUAAAAGAGUACUUUUUUACUAGAGUUUUAUGAAAGAAGGAUGAAUUUCUGGAGUAGUGAUAGAAUAUUAUGAUACCAGAGAGACAGGUAACGGCGAAGGCAACCUUCCAUGUAAAAACUGACGUUGAGGGACGAAGGCUAGGGUAGCGAAAAGGAUUAGAUACCCUUGUAGUCCAAGCAGACAAUGAUGAAUGCCAUAGACUAGAUAUAUAUUUAGUUCAUAAAUGAAAGUGUAAGCAUUCCACCUCAAGAGUAAUAUGGCAACAUAUAAACUGAAAUCAUUAGACCGUUUCUGAAACCAGUAGUGAAGUAUGUUGUUUAAUUCGAUGAUCCGCGAAAAACCUUACCACAGUUUGAAUAAAAUUUACAAGCGCUGCACGGCUGUCUUUAGUUUAUGUCGUGAGAUAUGGUUAAUUCCUUAAAUAAACGAAAACCCUCAUUUUAUUUAUAUAUAUAAAGUGGUUCGCUAAGAAAUUAGAUUGCUAAAAGGGAUUAAGACAAGUCAUCAUGGCCUAAAUACUGUGGGCUAUAGACGUGCCGCAUAUGCCUACACAAAGGGAUGCGAUAUUGUAAAAUGGAGCUAAUCCCACAAAAUAGGAUAUAAUACGGAUUGUAGUCUGUAAUUCGACUACAUGAAAAAGUAAUUACUAGUAAUCGUGAAUCACCAUCGUCACGG